CCUACGGGAGGCAGCAGUGGGGAAUCUUGCGCAAUGGGCGAAAGCCUGACGCAGCAACGCCGCGUGCGGGAAGAAGGCUUUCGGGCUGUAAACCGCUUUCAGCAGGAACGAAAAUGACGGUACCUGCAGAAGAAGGAGCGGCCAACUAUGUGCCAGCAGCCGCGGUGAUACAUAGGCUUCAAGCGUUGUCCGGAUUUAUUGGGCGUAAAGAGUUCGUAGGCGGUCGAGUAAGUCGGGUGUGAAAAUUCUGGGCUCAACCCAGAGACGCCACCCGAUACUGCUUGACUUGAGUUCGAUAGGGGAGUGGGGAAUUCCUAGUGUAGCGGUGAAAUGCGCAGAUAUUAGGAGGAACACCGGUGGCGAAGGCGCCACUCUGGAUCGAUACUGACGCUGAGGAACGAAAGCAUGGGUAGCAAACAGGAUUAGAUACCCUGGUAGUCCAUGCCGUAAACGGUGGGCACUAGGUGUGGGUUUCUAUUAACGAAAUCCGCGCCGUCGCUAACGCAUUAAGUGCCCCGCCUGGGGAGGUACGGUCGCGAGACGUAAACUACAAGAAGUAAGUACGG
rnacentral:rRNA from 1 species